rnacentral:lncRNA from 1 species
CUUCUAUUCCCAAAACAUCCCUGAGCCAGCUAAGGUGUGGGAUAAUUUCAUUUUAUAGUGUAAAGGCAUGUUUCAUGAACAUUGUUUCUGAAGAUGCGUAUCAUGUCUUGAAGUAAACUUUUACUGUGCAUGACUGUUUAAAGUGGUUUGAAAACACUAUGCUGUUUUUCAGAGCUGAUAUCUGUUCAACGCCUCAGAAAUUCCAAGGGUACCAGUUUCUGUUUUUUGGGAAACUGCUCCAUCUUUGCAGGCAUCUGGGUGUUCCUCUGGAUACCCUCACAAACUUAUCUGUAUUCCUGGUAGACUCAAAUCCACCCCAGUUCUGUUCUUUCCUCAGAAGAACUUCCUCAUAAGGCUUCAUUUCAUUUGUUAAAGGGUCCCAAUGCUAAAAUAAAAUAUUUGAAAAC